rnacentral:misc_RNA from 1 species
CGCUUUUCUUAACCCAUCUGAUACCAAUCUCUUAUCUUUCAGUCUUCCAUUAUUUUUCUUCCUUUGUUAUACUUAAGUUUCUAUUCAUAACGAGGUUAGGGUUCUNUGGGUUAAAGUUCGAUUAUGUAUGGAUUACCGCUUGAUUAUAUAGAGCCUAUUAGUGAAUUGAUUAUCUAGGGUUUUGGGUUUUGUCAUGGCCGAAGCUUCCAAAGGUCGGGUCACUAUUACUCUUGGGCGUACUGGUCAGGUGGUAAAGAGAGCUGCAGCUGUAUCAGAGGUUGACUAUGCUGAUCAUCUGCCAAGUGCUGGCAAUAAGCGGNNNNNUCUGUAAGAGAUAGAUUAGGAAGUAGUUUGGAUAGUUUCUCGUCGCAUGUAAGCCUAGCUAACAACAAAAAGCAAAGAGUAGACAGUUAUUUGACAAGUUUGAGGGUUAAUGGUGCAGAAGGUGUUCGCAUUGGUAAGGAUGACCUCCGAUUCAAACUCAUGCAAAAAAAUGAUCGUAGAAGAGCUCAGAGUGAUUAUGACCAAAAAACCAUGGACCUCCGUGAAAAGUUGUCUAGGGCAGUGCAUCCUUCAGGCCCUCCACCCAGUAGUCUUGAUGCACGGCAGCGCAUGCCUGAUACUAAGGACAAUAGUAUCUUGGGUCGAAUUCCGCCUACAAGAAGUGCUGAUAAUUUACCACGGAUAGAUUCAUCAAGAAAUUCUUAUUCUCCGUGGACAUUGGAUCAUAUACGAAGGAGAUCUCCAGAUAGAAUUAUAGGUAGUUCUAGGGGCUUAUCCCCACCCAGAAAUGUGGAGGAAUUACAAAGAAGACAAUUAAACAGUACGUUUGA